rnacentral:rRNA from 1 species
GACGAACGCUGGCGGCGUGCUUAACACAUGCAAGUCGAACGGAAAGGCCCUGCUUUUGUGGGGUGCUCGAGUGGCGAACGGGUGAGUAACACGUGAGUAACCUGCCCUUGACUUUGGGAUAACUUCAGGAAACUGGGGCUAAUACCGGAUAGGAGCUCCUGCUGCAUGGUGGGGGUUGGAAAGUUUCGGCGGUUGGGGAUGGACUCGCGGCUUAUCAGCUUGUUGGUGGGGUAGUGGCUUACCAAGGCUUUGACGGGUAGCCGGCCUGAGAGGGUGACCGGCCACAUGGGGACUGAGAUACGGCCCAGACUCCUACGGGAGGCAGCAGGGGGGAAUAUGGCACAAUGGGCGGAAGCCUGAUGCAGCAACGCCGCGGGGGGGAUGACGGCCUUCGGGUUGUAAACCGCUUUCGCCUGUGACGAAGCGUGAGUGACGGUAAGGGGAAAAGAAGCACCGGCUAACUACGUG